rnacentral:tRNA from 1 species
AAUAGGGUAGUUUAUAAAAAAUAUAAGAUUGUCAGUCUUAAGAUAUCUUGAUAGGUUCCUGUUU